rnacentral:rRNA from 1 species
AACGAACGCUGGCGGCAUGCCUAACACAUGCAAGUCGAACGAGACCUUCGGGUCUAGUGGCGCACGGGUGCGUAACGCGUGGGAACCUGCCCUUAGGUUCGGAAUAACUCCCCGAAAGGGGUGCUAAUACCGGAUAAUGUCUUCGGACCAAAGAUUUAUCGCCUUUGGAUGGGCCCGCGUUGGAUUAGCUAGUUGGUAGGGUAAAAGCCUACCAAGGCGACGAUCCAUAGCUGGUCUGAGAGGAUGAUCAGCCACACUGGGACUGAGACACGGCCCAGACUCCUACGGGAGGCAGCAGUGGGGAAUAUUGGACAAUGGGCGAAAGCCUGAUCCAGCAAUGCCGCGGGAGUGAUGAAGGCCUUAGGGUUGUAAAGCUCUUUUACCCGGAAUGAUAAUGACAGUACCGGGAGAAUAAGCUCCGGCUAACUCCGU